rnacentral:tRNA from 1 species
UGGGUUGUGGCUCAGCAGUAGAGUGCUUGCCUUGCAUGUGUGAGGCCCUGAGUUCGAUCCUCAGCACCACAU